rnacentral:rRNA from 1 species
AAUACGGAGGGAGCUAGCGUUGUUCGGAAUUACUGGGCGUAAAGCGCGCGUAGGCGGCUUUGUAAGUUAGAGGUGAAAGCCCGGGGCUCAACUCCGGAAUUGCCUUUAAGACUGCAUCGCUAGAAUCCGGGAGAGGUGAGUGGAAUUCCGAGUGUAGAGGUGAAAUUCGUAGAUAUUCGGAAGAACACCAGUGGCGAAGGCGGCUCACUGGACCGGUAUUGACGCUGAGGUGCGAAAGCGUGGGGAGCAAACAGGA